AUACUACUUCCUUUGUCCGGAACUUGUCGCAUAAAUGGAUAAAAAUGGAUGUAUCGAGAACUAAAAUACAUCUAAAUACAUCCAUUCUUAUGACAAGUAUUUUUGGACGGAGGGGGUAUUUU
rfam:Hordeum vulgare subsp. vulgare, WGS project CAJW01000000 data, contig: morex_contig_116551